GGGUGACGUAGCCAAGUGGUAAGGCGGGGCUCUGCAAAAGCUCUAUCGCCGGUUCAAUUCCGGCCGUCACCUCCC
rnacentral:tRNA from 1 species